GCCUCCUGUUGGCUCUUGACGGGCAGCGUGGCCGCCUGCUGGCCGGCUUUGCCUUUGUUGGUGGCCCCGGGGGACCCGGCGGGGCUGGGCUCUGACACACCGUUCAUCGCCUCGCCAUCCUCCUGGAAAUACCGCAGCAGCGGAUUUAAGAGCGGCGGCAUGCAGAGCACAGCACAAUCACAGCGUUGCUGUGGAGACACGCCACACAUGGGCACCAAAGAUCAAGAAAGAGCGUAUGUGAAACAAUGGCCGGCUGGCCGCCUCUUAGCAACCUUGAUUCCUGGGCCCUUUCUGUUUGACCACCAGAUUUGUUCAGGUUUAGUCCUGCUUGAAUUCAGGGUAAAUCCAGGUCGGGGUUAGUCCUGCUCCAUUUAGAAUGAAUUCCUGAAUGAAUCCGGGUUUUUUUCAGUCAGAUUUAAGUAUCAUUCAACACUGAUUUUUCAGAUUUUCUUGUCUAAUAAUAGUUUAGGAUGAGGUAUGUCCCGUCCUGUCACAGUCCAUGUUUAGGCAAUGUUUAAUCCAGGUUAAAUCCAUGUUUCAUCCUGGCCUCGUUGUGAUUUACCGCUGGACUGAUUACACUCUCAAUCAAGAGUCAUUCUAGUCCUAAUUCCUAAGUCCUAGUUCUAAUCCUGAUUUUGUUGUGCUUCAUUUAUGAUUAAUGCUGGGAUUCACCCAUCAUUACUUUAACCUAGGUUUAUUUAUCGUUAAAUUCAGUAUGGGUUCAAUCCCGGUAAAGCACGGGGAUGAAUCCAGGUUUUGAGAAGGAUUCAUUUAUCAUUCACUCGUUUGAGUUCAAUCGUGGUUCGUUCAAGGUGUAGUCUAGGCUUGGUCCCGGUGUAGAAUUACUUGAAUGCAGGUGUGGUCCUGGUUGAAUUCUGAAUUUCAACCCAGAUCUCUUUUAGUCGUCAGUAGGACUGCCUAAAUCCGGUCCAGACAGUUUUGGGUGCAACCUGAUAGUGCUUGAUGACGAGCCUCAUGAUUUUAAUCAGGUAUGUCACAGUUAAGCUGCACCCAAAACAGGAUGGGUCAAUGGGGGGGGUCUCGAGGACCAGACUCGGGCACCCCUGGUCUAAUCCCUGCGUAGCCAGAUUUUUGGGGCAAACGCCGGCAGCCGAGGAAAGAGUUUCAAUUGUUGAAGAAGACGACAAAUGAGGAGAAGGAGUGUGAGCGGCUCAUGCGGUCGCGGCAUGCAAGGCGGUAAAACCAUCUCAAACAAUCAAGUCCCACUUGGGUGCAAUUGCUUGGAACCACACCUCGCCCACGGCAAGCCGAUCCCAAACGACUGGUCGGUCGGUUCAUUACCACGCCUUGCAAGCGCUUCGCUGGGCCGGAGCCGAGCGGGGAGGGACGGAAGACCAAUCCUGCUUCCGGCUCCAGCGGGAACUCGCGCAGACGGGUUUUCCCAAGCGAACCUUGGAGGUGCUCAGGAUGGGUCGCUCGCAACAAGACAAGUUGGCAGCGGCGGUGUGCUCAACCGGCCCACGCCACUCAACUGGCCCGCGCGGCUCGAUUCGGUGACCACGUGAACACUCGCCUGGCUCUCUAAGUGCUCUGGCAUUGGCCGGCGACCAAUCCAGCGCAUGGUCUGAAAACGGACGCUUCUUGAUGAUUAUUAAUUCAUGCUCACGACAACCUAGUGACAAAAUGAUGUCCGUCUGCUUCCAAAUAUGACAAGCGGCGCACUCUGAGUUCAUUCAUGCGAUUUACCAAAUGUGAUCCUGUAAAUUUAAAUCUCCCAUUAGUUCCGAAAACAGAACAGUACAGCGGAGCUUCUCAUUGAAGAGUGUCAUGUUUGACAUUGGAAACGUUUGUGUUUUCAACGACUGCGCGCAUCCAUGAAGAGGCAUGUGACACACGGACAAACAAAAGGUGGAGGCCGGCGCUCAGGUCGGGACAUUCGAGACCUUUUAUUGCCUUUGUUAAUCGAGACGUGACGUGUCAAAACAUACACAAAUUAAGACAAUGAAAUGGUUCAAAUGAGAUGAGAAGACAACAAAAAGAAACGUGUGGGAAAAUGACAACAAAAAGACACAACUGUCGUGAAGACCCCAGACCAGACAUGGGCAAGCUAUGGCCCGCGGGCCACAUCCGGCCCACGGGACCGUUUAAUACAGCCUGCCAAACCUGAAUAAAUUGUAUGAUUAAACCAUUUUUGGGUCAUUUUCCCUGCAAUGACUGCAUUUCUCCAGUAGAUGGGGAAACGGGCGCCCGCGCAUUUACUCCGGGACGCCGUGUCACAAAGCUCAGAUGCACACUCACAAGUGUGUGUACGUACUCAGGAGUACAGACCCGGCGCACUCAGCGCUCUAUUUCUAUCAGUGCCGAAUUUCGAGUGUGGGCUGACGUCAGCAUUCUCGUAAUUUGCGCGCUGAGCUUUCAGAUACAGUUUUACGCUAAAGUUACCCACAAACAUUCCCCUGGAAUCCUUCCAUUUAAAUGAGUGGCCCAAGGAAAAGAAAGGCGGACACUGAGUGCCGAGUGUUUAAAAAAUAGUGGACAAUUUGGCUCGACGUGUGUGUGAGCAGCCACGUGAACAUCAACAAAGCCCCGUCACAGAUCUAGGUUAACGGACACCUCGGCUCUAUCCUAAGAAUUGCCACAACAAAUUUGACUCCAGACCAUGAUGCACUAGCAAAAAAAGGGAGACCAACAUCACUGUUCCCACUGAAAAUGAAGGGGAGUUUCUCUAGUUUGUUGUUAAAAAAAAAAAAGCAAUUUGAAAAUAAUUUGUACAAAUAGCAGGGAUUGAAACUAGCGACCAUUCUCAUUUUCAAACAAUACAGAAUGCUCAAGGGCAUUGAUGCACCACCCGUUUGCGACUAAUCUUAACUUUUAAAGGUUUUAAGGCCGACUUGUUUCCCGUUUCCUCACCUCUGUCACCAGGUGUUUGUGAGUUCGAGCUCUGCUCUGAUUUUCAGAUAUCCGUCACCGUGUUACCGUUUUGAUUUCUUUAUUACUUUAUUUAGAUGUAUUCUUUCACUGAUUCUUCAAGAUGAUGUAUUUGGUCAGAAUGUUUGCCGUUUUAUGUGAUUUCGCCUCAUAAAUUAAAUAAACAUCUUUCAUAAAUCUGACCUGCAGCCGCUGAAGUGAUGGAAACUGUUAUUCAUAAUAACAGUGUCGUAUUUAAUGAGAAUCACUUUAGUUUUUUGUUGAAAUGUUUUUUAAUGCUGUUAAUAAAUGCA